GCUCUCUGGAGGCCAAGCCCAUCUAUGGCCUCACACUCCCUAGGGUGGACUGGCUCCCUCAGGCACCUGCUGAAGUGAAGCGAUGACAGGUGCACAAACCCGAGCUAAUGAAGCCUAGGAAUUCAGUGUGCAAAUGGCUGAGAGGAUUGAAGUUGGAGACAGUAGAAGAUUAUUUAGGAGGUCAAUCAAUGAAGUAAGAAGCAGCUGAAUGAGAAGAUAGAUGGUGAAGAUCUUUGGAAAUGAAUUCAUGUCGGAGAUAAUGCACUUUCUAAUGAAGCCUAGGAAUUCAGUGUGCAAAUGGCUGAGAGGAUUGAAGUUGGAGACAGUAGAAGAUUAUUUAGGAGGUCAAUCAAUGAAGUAAGAAGCAGCUGAAUGAGAAGAUAGAUGGUGAAGAUCUUUGGAAAUGAAUUCAUGUCGGAGAUAAUGCACUUUAUCCUCACGAUGCGGAACAAAUGCAGGACUAUUGAAAAACUUUCUUCUGCUGCUUGUCUCCUUCCAAGCAUCACUUCCAGUCCUUUAUCUGGGUCCCUUCAUCUCCAUGGAACCCUUAAACCAGGCUGGGCAGAAAUAUAGUAUACCAAGCAGGGAAGACGUGGCAGGAACCAGUGGGUCUGGGUCAUUGGCAGGGGAGGAUUUAAGCUCCCUAAAGCCCAAUCUGAGGAAGGAUGAAAAGAGAGUUGCUGGCUGGUUGCCCCUCUUGGGCCCUCUGGUGGGUACAAAUGUUCACAGCCAGAUUUGACACACUUAAACCUCCCUACCUGGUUAUAGUUGGUAUGCAUUGCUACAUGGGCAAGCACUGUGGAGAGAUGGCGUGUGAAUGAUCUCCCAGAAGAAAGGACAAAGGGCUAAGCAAAACUCCUGAUUAACUGCACUGAGUCUGCCGGGCUGUAUCUCCUGGGCAAGGAAAACAACAGGCCAACAGGGGCUACCCAGCUCUUCUUUUCAAAACAAGAUCAUUAAGAAUGUUUACUGAAUGGCCAGGAUGCGUUAUUUUAGAGUCUCCAUAUUAUGCCCUAAACCAAGUAAUGUUGUACCUUGUGACAAAUUAUUUGGGAAAACCAUGAAACUUCAAUAUUAACGUAGCUCUUCUUUAACCUGCCACAGGAAUGCUGAUGCAAGCAAAGUAAAUUUAUGGGAUGGUUAAUGUUCCUCUCGAGGACUGAGCAGAGAAUAAGAGGAGAUUUUUACCAAGUCCCUUGCAUUUCGUAAUUUUCAUUACACUGCAAAUUGUGCCUCAAGGGGAUACCUUUGGAUGAGGCUAUUUCUGUUUACAUUUUACCGUUUUGUUUUUUCAAAGCCCAAGUCUAUGGAACAGGGACUAAGAAGACUUGUAGGACGUUGAAGUCAGAUACACAGAUGAAGCCUUCUGAACUCGACAUAUUCAGUUUGGCCUAACUGAAGUAACAAUCCUGGAUCACCAACUAGGAAAAAAACAGAGAAGACGGCCUAGAAUAUCCCAAGAGAAAGCAAAAAUAAAACCACUACAAAUGUAUACGUUCAAUACACCCUUAAAUUCAAAUUCAGCCUGGAGAUUUUCACCUAGAUGUUCCUGAAGUUAUGAUAUAGGAUUUUCUUAUCUUCCACUUGUCACUGUAUUUUUUAGGAUGGCACUCACCACUUAGAACCUGCAUUCUUUGUACAGAUGAUAGUUGCUAGGCCACUGGAAAACUAAAAUGCACAACCCUUGAAGAAAAAAGAAAUAGGUGAUAGACAUAAUGUAAAGGAAAAGAAAAAAAACAACUGUCUGUGACUAUAUAUCUGAUUCAGUUGAAUGAAUGAGAAUCAGAGUUUUAACAACUGAGAUUGUGCCCACCUACAAGACACAGUUUAGCUACUUUCUUGAAAAUAACCUGUCUCUCCAGUUGGCCAAACAGUUAAUUUGCUUUUAAAAGAGAGAUUUCUCCAUUUUAAGGUUGAACUAAUUGCUUGUUUGGCUGAACUAUUUUGGUUUAAAAUGAUCAAAUUAAAACUAUAUGUACCAAGUUGUUGUUUGAACUGCUUUAUAAUCCAAGCACUUCACCCAUGCUCCUAGGACAAUGGCUAAAAUGGGUGGGUCCCCAUAAACCCUUGUUCAGUAUCAGCACAGAGACUUCAUAUUUCAUCAAACAGU